rnacentral:rRNA from 1 species
AGAGUUUGAUCCUGGCUCAGAACGAACGCUGGCGGCAGGCUUAACACAUGCAAGUCGAACGCCCCGCAAGGGGAGUGGCAGACGGGUGAGUAACGCGUGGGAACGUGCCCUUCGCUUCGGAAUAGUCCCGGGAAACUGGGUUUAAUACCGGAUACGCCGUAUUGGGAAAGAUUUAUCGGCGAAGGAUCGGCCCGCGUUGGAUUAGCUAGUUGGCGGUGUAAUGGACCACCAAGGCGACGAUCCAUAGCUGGUCUGAGAGGAUGAUCAGCCACACUGGGACUGAGACACGGCCCAGACUCCUACGGGAGGCAGCAGUGGGGAAUCUUGGACAAUGGGCGCAAGCCUGAUCCAGCCAUGCCGCGUGAGUGAAGAAGGCCUUAGGGUUGUAAAACUCUUUCGCCGGAGAAGAUAAUGACGGUAUCCGGAGAAGAAGCCCCGGCUAACUUCGUGCCAGCAGCCGCGGUAAUACGAAGGGGGCUAGCGUUGUUCGGAAUUACUGGGCGUAAAGCGCGUGUAGGCGGAUUUUUAAGUCGGGGGUGAAAUCCCAGAGCUCAACUCUGGAACUGCCUUCGAUACUGGAAAUCUGGACCCAAGUAGAGGCGAGUGGAAUUGCGAGUGUAGAGGUGAAAUUCGUAGAUAUUCGCAGGAACACCAGUGGCGAAGGCGACUCGCUGGACUUGUGGUGACGCUGAGACGCGAAAGCGUGGGUAGCAAACAGGAUUAGAUACCCUGGUAGUCCACGCCGUAAACGAUGAGAGCUAGUUGUCAGUAAGCAUGCUUAUUGGUGACGCAGCUAACGCAUUAAGCUCUCCGCCUGGGAGACA